UACGGGAGGCAGCAGUGGGGAAUAUUGCACAAUGGGCGCAAGCCUGAUGCAGCCAUGCCGCGUGUAUGAAGAAGGCCUUCGGGUUGUAAAGUACUUUCAGUCGUGAGGAAGGUGUUAAGGUUAAUAACCUUAGCAAUUGACGUUAGCGACAGAAGAAGCACCGGCUAACUCCGUGCCAGCAGCCGCGGUAAUACGGAGGGUGCGAGCGUUAAUCGGAAUUACUGGGCGUAAAGGGCACGCAGGCGGUUAAUUAAGUUGGAUGUGAAAUCCCCGGGCUUAACCUGGGAAUGGCAUUCAAGACUGGUUAGCUAGAGUCUUGUAGAGGGGGUAGAAUUCCAUGUGUAGCGGUGAAAUGCGUAGAGAUGUGGAGGAAUACCGGUGGCGAAGGCGGCCCCUGGGACAAAGGACUGACGCUCAUGUGCGAAAGCGUGGGGAGCGAAACAGGGAUUAGAUA
rnacentral:rRNA from 1 species